CCUACGGGUGGCAGCAGUGGGGAAUAUUGGACAAUGGGGGGAACCCUGAUCCAGCCAUGCCGCGUGUGUGAAGAAGGCCCUCGGGUUGUAAAGCACUUUCAGUGAGGAAGAACGCCUGGUGGUUAAUACCCAUCAGGAAAGACAUCACUCACAGAAGAAGCACCGGCUAACUCCGUGCCAGCAGCCGCGGUAAUACGGAGGGUGCGAGCGUUAAUCGGAAUUACUGGGCGUAAAGCGCGCGUAGGUGGCUUGAUAAGCCGGUUGUGAAAGCCCCGGGCUCAACCUGGGAACGGCAUCCGGAACUGUCGAGCUAGAGUGUAGGAGAGGAAGGUAGAAUUCCCGGUGUAGCGGUGAAAUGCGUAGAGAUCGGGAGGAAUACCAGUGGCGAAGGCGGCCUUCUGGACUGACACUGACACUGAGGUGCGAAAGCGUGGGUAGCAAACAGGAUUAGAUACCCGUGUAGUC
rnacentral:rRNA from 1 species